ensembl:lncRNA
CACACACACACACACACACACACUUCGUUCAGUUCCUGUUUUCAGUGGCAAUGACCAGGGAAAGCAGCAUAUGAGCUGAAUAAUGCAGGACUGUUCCCGUCUCUUCCUGCGUUCGUCCCUGAGCCGUCAUGCUCUGUGGCUUUUUAUUCCACUCUUUCUUCUCACAUUGUGUCUGUUCGGUUUCAUGGAUUGUUGAGCAUCGCCUCUCAAUUUUCUCUCAGGGCUGCUGGUUGGAAAAAUGGGUCACAAAAAACAGUUUUUCUCAUUUUUAGAACAGUUCUCGCACUUGGUGUAAGGGAAUAGUUCACCUAAAAUAAAGAUUGUCCAUUGUUUACUCACCCUCAACUACUGUUAUGGUCUGAUAUACAGCAUGUUGCUUUCAUUAUAUUUGGCGAGACACAUGAACUGAAGAUUUAUUUUAUGUUCCACAGAGACCACACAGGUUUGGAGCAACAUUAAGAUGAUGGAUAUGUUUGGGAUUUUCUCAUGUUUCAUCUACCUUCACGUUCAUCUUGUUGAUUGCGUCUCUGCUGCUUUGAUGAAUCACACGUUCAGUAAAGACCUGCAUGAGACCAUUACUUCAGGCCUUCAGGACCAUUUCAUCAGACAGGUAGCCUAUUUCAUGGACUGUCAAAUUGUUUUUUGACUGGACAGAACAGGACAGUGUGUAUUAUAUUGGGAGGUUUAUGAAUAAAGGCCCGUUCACACCAAG